rnacentral:tRNA from 1 species
GGGCCCAUAGUUUAAUGGAUCAGAAUACGGGACUUCGGAUCCUGUGAUGGAGGUUCGAUUCCUCCUGGGCUCA